rnacentral:rRNA from 1 species
GACGAACGCUGGCGGCGUGCUUAACACAUGCAAGUCGAACGGAAAGGCCCUGCUUGCAGGGUACUCGAGUGGCGAACGGGCGAGUAACACGUGGGUGCUCUGCCCUCCACUUUUUGAUAAGCCUGGGCAACUGGGUCUAAUACCGGAUACGAGCCACUUUUUGUGUGAUGGUUGGGAAGAUUUUUCGGUGUAGGAUGAGCUCGCGGCCUAUCAGCUUGUUGGCGGGUUAAUGGCCUACCAAGGCGCCGAGGGGUAGCCGGCCUGAGAGGGUGGAAGGCCACAUUGGGACUGAGAUGCGGCACAGACGCCUACGGGAGGCAGCAGUGGGGAAGAUUGCACAAGGGGUGCAAGCCGGAUGCAGAGACGCCGCGUGGGGGAUGACGGCCUUCGGGUUGUAAAAUCCUUUCGCUAGGGAAGAAGCUUUUUGUGACGGUACCUAGAUAAGAAGCACCGGCUAACUACGUG